rnacentral:rRNA from 1 species
UGGAGGCAGCAGUGAGGAAUCUUGCGCAAUGGGCGAAAGCCUGACGCAGCCAUGCCGCGUGAAUGAUGAAGGUCUUAGGAUUGUAAAAUUCUUUCACCGGGGAAGAUAAUGACGGUACCCGGAGAAGAAGCCCCGGCUAACUUCGUGCCAGCAGCCGCGGUAAUACGAAGGGGGCUAGCGUUGCUCGGAAUUACUGGGCGUAAAGGGCGCGUAGGCGGAUAUCUAAGUUGGGGGUGAAAUCCCGGGGCUCAACCUCGGAAUUGCCUUCAAAACUGGAUAUCUUGAGUUCGGGAGAGGUGAGUGGAACUCCGAGUGUAGAGGUGAAAUUCGUAGAUAUUCGGAAGAACACCAGUGGCGAAGGCGACUCACUGGCCCGAUACUGACGCUGAGGCGCGAAAGCGUGGGGAGCAAACAGGAUUAGAUACCCCGGU